rnacentral:rRNA from 1 species
GACGAACGCUGGCGGCGUGCCUAAUACAUGCAAGUCGAGCGAGCUUGCCUAGAUGAUUUUAGUGCUUGCACUAAAUGAAACUAGAUACAAGCGAGCGGCGGACGGGUGAGUAACACGUGGGUAACCUGCCCAAGAGACUGGGAUAACACCUGGAAACAGAUGCUAAUACCGCAUAAGCGCACGAAGGCGCAUGCCUUUGUGUGAAAAACUCCGGUGGUAUGAGAUGGACCCGCGUUAGAUUAGCCAGUUGGCAGGGUAACGGCCUACCAAAGCGACGAUCUAUAGCCGGCCUGAGAGGGCGACCGGCCACAUUGGGACUGAGACACGGCCCAA